rnacentral:rRNA from 1 species
AUUGAACGCUGGCGGCAUGCUUUACACAUGCAAGUCGAACGGCAGCGCGGGCUUCGGCCUGGCGGCGAGUGGCGAACGGGUGAGUAAUACAUCGGAACAUGCCCAGUAGUGGGGGAUAGCUCGGCGAAAGCCGGAUUAAUACCGCAUACGACCUGAGGGUGAAAGCGGGGGAUCUUCGGACCUCGCGCUAUUGGAGCGGCCGAUGGCAGAUUAGCUAGUUGGUGGGGUAAAGGCCUACCAAGGCGACGAUCUGUAGCUGGUCUGAGAGGACGACCAGCCACACUGGGACUGAGACACGGCCCAGACUCCUACGGGAGGCAGCAGUGGGGAAUUUUGGACAAUGGGCGAAAGCCUGAUCCAGCAAUGCCGCGUGUGUGAUGAAGGCCUUCGGGUUGUAAAGCACUUUUGGCGGGAACGAAAAGGACUGUGCCAAUACCACGGUUCGAUGACGGUACCCGCAGAAUAAGCACCGGCUAACUACGUG